UGCCUUUCACUACGGAAUAGCUUCUGGAAACGGAAGGUAAUACCGAAUACGCCCUUCGGGGGAAAGAUUUAUCGGUGAAAGAUCGGCCCGCGUUAGAUUAGUUUGUUGGUGGGGUAAUGGCCUACCAAGACUACGAUCUAUAACUGGUCUGAGAGGAUGAUCAGCCACGCUGGGACUGAGACACGGCCCGGACUCCAACGGGAGGCAGCAGUGGGGAAUCUUGCACAAUGGGCGAAAGCCUGAUGCAGCCAUGCCGCGUGAAUGAUGAAGGCCUUAGGGUUGUAAAAUUCUUUCGCCAGGGAUGAUAAUGACAGUACCUGGUAAAGAAGCCCCGGCUAACUUCGUGCCAGCAGCCGCGGUAAUACGAAGGGGGCUAGCGUUGUUCGGAAUUACUGGGCGUAAAGCGCGCGUAGGCGGGCUGUUAAGCCAGAUGUGAAAGCCCAGAGCUCAACUCUGGAAUUGCAUUUGGAACUGGCAGCCUAGAGACCAGGAGAGGUUAGCGGAAUACCGAGUGUAGAGGUGAAAUUCGUAGAUAUUCGGUGGAACACCAGUGGCGAAGGCGGCUAACUGGACUGGUACUGACGCUGAGGCGCGAAAGUGUGGGGAGCAAACAGGAUUAGAUACCCUGGUAGUCCACACCGUAAACGAUGAAUGCUAGUUGUCUGUGUGCAUGCAUACAGGUGACGCAGCUAACGCAUUAAGCAUUCCGCCUGGGGAGUACGGCCGCAAGGUUAAAACUCAAAGAAAUUGACGGGGGCCCGCACAAGCGGUGGAGCAUGUGGUUUAAUUCGAAGCAACGCGCAGAACCUUACCCGCGUUUGACAUGCCCUGUUUGGUUACCAGAGAUGGUUUCCUUCAUUUAGUUGGCAGGUGCACAGGUGCUGCAUGGCUGUCGUCAGCUCGUGUCGUGAGAUGUUGGGUUAAGUCCCGCAACGAGCGCAACCCUUAUCCUUAGUUGCCAGCACGUUUGGGUGGGCACUCUAAGGAAACUGCCGGUGCUAAGCCGGAGGAAGGCGGGGAUGACAUCAAGUCCUUCAUGGCCCUUACACGCGGGGCUACACACGUGCUACAAUGGCAGUGACAAUGGGAUAAUCCCAAAAAGCUGUCUCAGUUCAGAUUGUCCUCUGCAACUCGAGGGCAUGAAGUUGGAAUCGCUAGUAAUCGUGGAUCAGCAUGCCACGGUGAAUACGUUCCCGGGCCUUGUACACACCGCCCGUCACAUCAUGGGAGUUGGAUCUACCCGAAGACUGUGCGCUAACUUCGGAGGCAGC
rnacentral:rRNA from 1 species